GUAGGCUGCUUGCAUUAUAUCUCAACAAUGUACUCGUGUGACGUAAGCCGCAUGCUUUAUAGAGUUAUAAUAAACUCGUUCCGACCAAUCACGGAACGCGCAUUUCUCUGAAUAUUUUAAUAAUUGAGCAUAAAAUCGCGUCAGUUGAAAAAACUUUGUCAGAUACAUUUGUGGCAGAGAAGUUGGCGCGCGAUUAUUUUUCUUAAAACUUCAAAAUGUCAGGAAAAUCACGGGCAACGGGUAACUCUUCUCGUGACUAUGGUUAUCAGAGAAAGCAAAGAAAGAGGGCAAAGAAUAAAGCGCACAAGAGGAAGAGCAUCCAAAAAAAAGGUCAAACUUUGAAAGUGCUGGAACAAGUUGUGUACCUCCUUCGAGGACAAAGAAAAGUUUACCUCGAGCAUUGCACCAUUCAGUAGAUAAGGUGGGUUUUAUGUUUCUAUUUAAAAAGUGAAAGUGAUUCAGUCCCGUUUUGUGCUCUAACUCACCAUAAAAUUGCGCGCCACAAAGCUUCAGUUUCACCACCACUUCAUUUGUACAUUUAUCGAUGUUUCUAUACUAUAAAAAAGGCCCUUAAGUAAAAGUUGUGUAGUCAGAUAUUUCCUCUAAGAAUUGCGCGCUAACAGAACACGCUUCCCGACUGCAGCUUUAAGCGGUGACAAAGCAAAAACUUCACUUAUAUUCAUUGCUUAGAAUCAGUGAUUCCAAUGAAUCGUUUAGCCAAAGUGGCAUGCUUUUCUUGGUGGUAAUUACAUCAUUAGUGAAAACUGAAACGCACAAAUCCUCUACAAAAAUCCUAAAAAAUUGUAAAGAAUUUAAAACCAUCUCAGGUAACAAAAGCAAAAUACAAGAUAUCCUCAGCGCAGAUGAUCAUCUUCACUGCCACAAAGCUUGUAUGCGGAUUUAAGGUUUUGAUAACGCAAAGCUAUAUGAACAUUUUUAAGUAAAGACACUGCAUUCUUCAUGUCUUUCAGGAACAUCGCGAAAGAAAAGGACAGAGAGAGUUGAUGACGAUCUUGAAGAUGCUUCAAGGAACUGAACUUUUAUCUCUUUGAACUGUUCCCUGCUGUUUACGCAAUCAAGCAUUAGAUGUCAGAAGAACAACAAUAUUAACAGUAGAAAGACUGUAUAGUUUUUUUAAGUUCCUGCAAGUAUUUUAAGUUUUUUCUAGGUUCCCCUAUGUUUCUUAAUUAGCUAAGCGAAAGUUUCUUUUUUAACAUUUACACUCUUGUACUAGGAUAGGAAUAAAUGUAACACUUUUUUCUUUGUGCAGGAAAA
rnacentral:lncRNA from 1 species